rnacentral:rRNA from 1 species
AGUGAACGCUGGCGGCGUGCUUAACACAUGCAAGUCGAACGAGAACGGGCUAUAGCUUGCUAUAGUUGUCAGCUAAGUGGCGCACGGGUGAGUAAUGUAUAGGUAAUAUGCCUCUUACUAAGGGAUAACAAAUGGAAACGUUUGCUAAUACCUUAUACUCCUUAUUAACAGAAGUUAAUAAGGGAAAGAUUUAUUGGUAAGAGAUUAGCCUGUAUUGUAUCAGUUAGUUGGUGGGGUAAUGGCUUACCAAGACUAUGACACAUAACUGGUUUGAGAGGAUGAUCAGUCACACUGGAACUGAGACACGGUCCAGACUCCUACGGGAGGCAGCAGUGGGGAAUAUUGCACAAUGGACGAAAGUUUGAUGCAGCAACGUCGCGUGGAGGAUGACACAUUUCGGUGCGUAAACUCCUUUUAUAUGAGAAGAUAAUGACGGUAUUAUAUGAAUAAGCACCGGCUAACUCCGUGCCAGCAGCCGCGGUAA